rnacentral:piRNA from 1 species
UCAUAGCAGUUUGGUGCAUGCCUGAGCCAUG